rnacentral:rRNA from 1 species
GACUCUCGGCAACGGAUAUCUCGGCUCUCGCAUCGAUGAAGAACGUAGCAAAAUGCGAUACUUGGUGUGAAUUGCAGAAUCCCGUGAACCAUCCAAUCUUUGAACGCAAGUUGCGCCCGAAGCCAUCCGGCCGAGGGCACGCCUGCCUGGGCGUCACGCAUCG